CUACCAGACUCCUACGGGAGGCAGCAGUAGGGAAUCUUCGGCAAUGGACGAAAGUCUGACCGAGCAACGCCGCGUGAGUGAAGAAGGUUUUCGGAUCGUAAAACUCUGUUGGUAGAGAAGAACGUUGGUGAGAGUGGAAAGCUCAUCAAGUGACGGUAACUACCCAGAAAGGGACGGCUAACUACGUGCCAGCAGCCGCGGUCAUACGUAGGAUCCGAGCAUUAUCCGGAGUGACUGGGUGUAAAGAGUUGCGUAGGUGGCAUAGUAAGUAGCUAGUGAAAUCUGGUGGCUCAACCAUUCAGACUAUUAGCUAAACUGCUAAGCUCGAGACCGUUAGGGGUAACUGGAAUUUCUAGUGUAGGAGUGAAAUCCGUAGAUAUUAGAAGGAACACCGAUAGCGUAGGCAGGUUACUGGGACGGUUCUGACACUAAGGCACGAAAGCGUAGGGAGCAAACGGGAUUAGAUACCCUCGUAUU
rnacentral:rRNA from 1 species